AAUGAACGCUGGCGGCAGGCCUAACACAUGCAAGUCGAGCGGCGAGGCGGACGGGUGAGUAAUGCCUAGGAAUCUGCCUGGUAGUGGGGUAUAACGUCCGGGAACGGGCGAUAAUACCGCAUAAGAUAAGAUGAGCCUCGGUCGGAUUAGCUAGUUGGUGGGGUAAAGGCCUACCAGGGCGACGAUCCUUAACUGGUCUGAGAGGAUGAUCAGUCACCCUGGAACUGAGACACGGCCCAGACUCCUACGGGAGGCAGCAGUGGGGAAUAUUGGACAAUGGGCGAAAGCCUGAUCCAGCCACGCCGCGUGUGUGAAGAAGGUCUUCGGAUUGUAAAGCACUUUAGGUUGGGAGGCGUUACCAACAGAAUAAGCACCGGCUAACUUCGUGCCAGCAGCCGCGGUAAUUC
rnacentral:rRNA from 1 species